rnacentral:rRNA from 1 species
UUGGCCCAGGCCGCUUUCACGCACUUUUCCUCCGUCCUCGGCGCCCCCGCAGAGCGCGGGUUCACCCUGGACCUGGUUGCCAGUGGCCAGCGCUCCUUUGACCUCUCUGCCCUGGAUCACCCGUUCUCGUCAGCGGAGAUUUGGGAGGCUAUCAAGCGGCUUCCUUCCAGAAAAGCCCCCGGUCCUGACGGUUUCACAGCCGAGUUCUUGCGCUCAUGUUGGCUCAUCAUCAAAGAUGACCUUUGCGACGUCUUCGACAAGCUCUACGCGCUAAAUGGCCAGGCCUUUCAAUGGCUCAACGAGGCGUACAUCACUCUGCUGCCCAAGCGGCCCGAUGCCGCCUCGCUCUUUGAUUACCGGCCGAUCAGUCUCAUCCACCUGAUCGCGAAGCUGUUUGCUAAGGUUCUUUCGCUUCGGUUGGCGCCGCGUCUUGGCGAACUCAUCUCCCCCAACCAAAGUGCUUUCAUCUCUGGAAGAAGUGUCCAUGAUAACUUCCUCCUCGUCCAGUAG